UAGCGGGCUUAGGUUGGGAUUUUUGACUCAAAAACUUAAAUGGUUCGACAUGAACCUGACCUGAAAAUAAAACGGAUUAGGUUAAGGUUGAAAAUUUCAACCCGAAAAUGACCCAUGUAACCCAAAAAUAUUUUCGGGUCAAAACUAGGUCGGGUCAAACCCGAACCCAACCUGAUAACCCGAACAUUAUAAGUUGAAAAAAAAACGAAAAAAAAUAAACUGAACAAACCUGAUUAAAAUUCAGCCCAAGCCCAAAUAUGUAACUAGUAUCUAAAACCCUAAAAUCCUAAAUGCUAGCCUUCUCCUCACACACACUCAACCGUUUUGGCCACUCUUUAUCUCUCUCUUCAACUCUCAACUCUUCAAACUUCCAAUCCAAAUCAAUCAUUCUCGGUUCCAUCCUUAGAUCUUCCUCUCCUUCAUAGUUUAAGUGUUUAAAGAUUCACCACUUCAACCUUCAAGAUUCAGAUCCUCACACGCCACAAACAUCGCCCCUGCUUCAACUUGCUUCAAGUCUCCAAUUGUACAUUAUUUGAAAACUAUGUUGUAUAAAGUCUGUAUUAAAAAAUUUAAAACAUUGAUUGGUUUUGAAUUCUGGUUUGUAAUUUAUUUAGUAUACUAUUUUUCUGUAUCUAAUCUUUAAUUACACUUUCUAAAUAAAUUAAUUUUAAAAUCAA